rnacentral:rRNA from 1 species
CUUUGAUCCUGGCUCAGGAUAAACGCUGGCGGCGCACAUAAGACAUGCAAGUCGAACGAACUUAACCAUUAGUUUACUAUUGGAGCGGUUAGUGGCGGACUGGUGAGUAACACGUAAGCAACCUGCCUAUCAGAGGGGAACAACAGUUAGAAAUGACUGCUAAUACCGCAUAUGCCUUGAGUAUCACAUGGUACAAAAGGGAAAGGAGCAAUCCGCUGAUAGAUGGACUUGCGUCUGAUUAGAUAGUUGGUGAGGUAACGGCCCACCAAGUCGACGAUCAGUAGCCGGACUGAGAGGUUGAACGGCCACAUUGGGACUGAGAUACGGCCCAGACUCCUACGGGAGGCAGCAGUCGGGAAUAUUGCGCAAUGGAGGAAACUCUGACGCAGUGACGCCGCGUGCAGGAAGAAGGUUUUCGGAUUGUAAACUGCUUUAGACAGGGAAGAAACAAGACAGUACCUGUAGAAUAAGCUCCGGCUAACUACGUGCCAGCAGCCGCGGUAAUACGUAGGGAGCAAGCGUUAUCCGGAUUUAUUG